rnacentral:rRNA from 1 species
GUGUGACUGCGUACCUUUUGUAUAAUGGGUCAGCGACUUAUAUUCUGUAGCAAGGUUAACCGAAUAGGGGAGCCGAAGGGAAACCGAGUCUUAACUGGGCGUUAAGUUGCAGGGUAUAGACCCGAAACCCGGUGAUCUAGCCAUGGGCAGGUUGAAGGUUGGGUAACACUAACUGGAGGACCGAACCGACUAAUGUUGAAAAAUUAGCGGAUGACUUGUGGCUGGGGGUGAAAGGCCAAUCAAACCGGGAGAUAGCUGGUUCUCCCCGAAAGCUAUUUAGGUAGCGCCUCGUGAAUUCAUCUCCGGGGGUAGAGCACUGUUUCGGCAAGGGGGUCAUCCCGACUUACCAACCCGAUGCAAACUGCGAAUACCGGAGAAUGUUAUCACGGGAGACACACGGCGGGUGCUAACGUCCGUCGUGAAGAGGGAAACAACCCAGACCGCCAGCUAAGGUCCCAAAGUCAUGGUUAAGUGGGAAACGAUGUGGGAAGGCCCAGACAGCCAGGAUGUUGGCUUAGAAGCAGCCAUCAUUUAAAGAAAGCGUAAUAGCUCACUGGUCGAGUCGGCCUGCGCGGAAGAUGUAACGGGGCUAAACCAUGCACCGAAGCUGCGGCAGCGACGCUGAUGCGUUGUUGGGUAGGGGAGCGUUCUGUAAGCCUGCGAAGGUGUGCUGUGAGGCAUGCUGGAGGUAUCAGAAGUGCGAAUGCUGACAUAAGUAACGAUAAAGCGGGUGAAAAGCCCGCUCGCCGGAAGACCAAGGGUUCCUGUCCAACGUUAAUCGGGGCAGGGUGAGUCGACCCCUAAGGCGAGGCCGAAAGGCGUAGUCGAUGGGAAACAGGUUAAUAUUCCUGUACUUGGUGUUACUGCGAAGGGGGGACGGAGAAGGCUAUGUUGGCCGGGCGACGGUUGUCCCGGUUUAAGCGUGUAGGCUGGUUUUCCAGGCAAAUCCGGAAAACUAAGGCUGAGGCGUGAUGACGAGGCACUACGGUGCUGAAGCAACAAAUGCCCUGCUUCCAGGAAAAGCCUCUAAGCAUCAGGUAACAUCAAAUCGUACCCCAAACCGACACAGGUGGUCAGGUAGAGAAUACCAAGGCGCUUGAGAGAACUCGGGUGAAGGAACUAGGCAAAAUGGUGCCGUAACUUCGGGAGAAGGCACGCUGAUAUGUAGGUGAAGUCCCUCGCGGAUGGAGCUGAAAUCAGUCGAAGAUACCAGCUGGCUGCAACUGUUUAUUAAAAACACAGCACUGUGCAAACACGAAAGUGGACGUAUACGGUGUGACGCCUGCCCGGUGCCGGAAGGUUAAUUGAUGGGGUCAGCGCAAGCGAAGCUCUUGAUCGAAGCCCCGGUAAACGGCGGCCGUAACUAUAACGGUCCUAAGGUAGCGAAAUUCCUUGUCGGGUAAGUUCCGACCUGCACGAAUGGCGUAAUGAUGGCCAGGCUGUCUCCACCCGAGACUCAGUGAAAUUGAACUCGCUGUGAAGAUGCAGUGUACCCGCGGCAAGACGGAAAGACCCCGUGAACCUUUACUAUAGCUUGACACUGAACAUUGAGCCUUGAUGUGUAGGAUAGGUGGGAGGCUUUGAAGUGUGGACGCCAGUCUGCAUGGAGCCGACCUUGAAAUACCACCCUUUAAUGUUUGAUGUUCUAACGUGGACCCGUAAUCCGGGUUGCGGACAGUGUCUGGUGGGUAGUUUGACUGGGGCGGUCUCCUCCUAAAGAGUAACGGAGGAGCACGAAGGUUGGCUAAUCCUGGUCGGACAUCAGGAGGUUAGUGCAAUGGCAUAAGCCAGCUUGACUGCGAGCGUGACGGCGCGAGCAGGUGCGAAAGCAGGUCAUAGUGAUCCGGUGGUUCUGAAUGGAAGGGCCAUCGCUCAACGGAUAAAAGGUACUCCGGGGAUAACAGGCUGAUACCGCCCAAGAGUUCAUAUCGACGGCGGUGUUUGGCACCUCGAUGUCGGCUCAUCACAUCCUGGGGCUGAAGUAGGUCCCAAGGGUAUGGCUGUUCGCCAUUUAAAGUGGUACGCGAGCUGGGUUUAGAACGUCGUGAGACAGUUCGGUCCCUAUCUGCCGUGGGCGCUGGAGAA